GGACGGUGAUGACUUGUGAAAGGUCUCGUUCGUCGUAAUGGCAUAUUUGCCUUGACGACCAUCCUGAUAUAUCACCACCCAUAUUCUGAGUCC